CCUACGGGAGGCAGCAGUAGGGAAUAUUGCACAAUGGGGGAAACCCUGAUGCAGCAACGCCGCGUGGAUGAAGAAGGUUUUCGGUUUGUAAAGCUCUAUCGGCAGAGAAGAAAAUGACGGUAUCUAACGAAUAAGCACCGGCUAACUACGUGCCAGCAGCCGCGGUAAUACGGAGGGUGCAAGCGUUACCCGGAUUUACUGGGUGUAAAGAGCGCGUAGGCGGGGUAGCAAGUCUGAUGUGAAAUGCUAUGGCUUAACCACGGAACUGCAUUUGAAACUGUUACUCUGGAGUACAGGAGAGGUAAGUGGAAUUCUUAGUGUAGCGGUGAAAUGCGUAGAGAUCAGGAGGAAUACUCGUGGCGAAGGCGGCCUACUGGAACGUAACUGACGCUGAUGCGCGAAAGCGUGGGGAGCAAACAGGAUUAGAUACCCGUGUAGUC
rnacentral:rRNA from 1 species